AACGCUUGGCGGCACGCGUAACACAUAGACAAGUCGAACGGCAGCUUGAAUCAACUUCGGUUGAUUUGAUGGCGAGUGGCGAACGGGUGAGUAACGCGUAGGAAUAUGCCUUAAAGAGGGGGAUAACUCGGGGAAACUCGAGCUAAUACCGCGUAAGCUCUACGGAGUAAAGCAUGGGACCUUCGGGCCAUGCGCUUUAAGAAUAGCCUGCGUCCGAUUAGCUAGUUGGUGGGGUAAAGGCCUACCAAGGCGAUGAUCGGUAGCUGGUCUGAGAGGAUGGACAGCCACACUGGGACUGAGACACGGCCCAGACUCCUACGGGAGGCAGCAGUGGGGAAUAUUGGACAAUGGGGGCAACCCUGAUCCAGCGAUGCCGCGUGUGUGAAGAAGGCCCGAGGGUUGUAAAGCACUUUUAGUGGGGAGGAAAGGGUACAGGUUAAGAGCUAGUAUCUGUGACGUUACCCACCAUAAACAGCACCGGCUAACUCCGUGCCAGCAGCCGCGGUAAUACGGGGGGUGCAAGCGUUAAUCGGAGUUAUUGGGCGUAAAGGGUGCGUAGGUUGUUCGUUAAGUUAUGUGGGAAAUACCUGGGCUUAACCUGGGAAUGUCCGAUAAUACUGAUGAACUUGAGUAUAGUAAAGGGUAGUGGAAUUCCGGUGUACCGGUGAAUGCGUAUAAUCGAAGACACCCAUGCAAGCGCACCGACUAAUACUGAACUGAGCCAAACGUGGACAACGGAUAAUACUGUAUCCCCGUAACAUU
rnacentral:rRNA from 1 species